AUGACUAAAAAACCAGGAGGGCCCGGAAGAAACCGGGCCAUCAAUAUG
rfam:Japanese encephalitis virus gene for viral protein, complete cds.